rnacentral:rRNA from 1 species
CAUUAUCGAAUAAAAUUGAACAGGUUGUUGCUGGCCCUCUAGGCAUGUGCACGCUUGUCCAAUCUUUAUCAUUUCUCCAACCUGUGCACUUAUCGUAGAUCUUUAGAUUUGGGGACUGCUGUGCUUUCAGUCGGCUUUCCCUUUUACUUUUUUUGAAUGUCUACAUGAUUUUCACAAUCUCAUAAAAUGUUGAAUGCAAUGAAAACAAAUAUAAAAUACAACUUUCAGCAACGGAUCUCUUGGCUCUCGCAUCGAUGAAGAACGCAGCGAAAUGCGAUAAGUAAUGUGAAUUGCAGAAUUCAGUGAAUCAUCGAAUUUUUGAACGCAUCUUGCGCUCCUUGGUAUUCCAAGGAGCAUGCCUGUUUGAGUGUCAUCAAGUUCUCAACCACAAUAUGUUUUAUUGUGGUUUGGAUAGAUGGGAGUGUUGCCGGCUUUAUUAUUAAGUAGGCUCUCCUUAAACGUAUAAGUGGUGUAUUCUACUUGUCAGGUGUUAUAAAUUUAUAAUACACCUUCUGGCAAUUCUGCUAUACUG